rnacentral:lncRNA from 1 species
UCUUCCAGCCUCCAUCAUCUUCGUAGGAGUACACCAUACAUUCUGAGCCCUAAUCUUCCAGCCUCCAUCAUCAUGGAAUAACCUAAUUCCCUCAUUCUUCUCAUUCAAGCGGCUUACAGGAUACGUUUCUUUUACAAAACACUAUCAUCCGCAAUUAUCUAUCUCCUUCUUGGUAUGGUUGUAAAUGGAUUAAAUGGUUUGUUGAUAUUCGAAUCAUCUUUGUUGUUACCAAUCAUGUUUUUACGGAUUAGGGUUUUGUUUAUCUUCUUCUCACUGUGGCAGCCUAUGUAG